GCUGGCCACAGCCUGCAGUCUGGUGUUAGCUGGCCCCAGGCACAGGUCAGUACUUCUGUUUUUCCAUGGAAAUCACAUUCUAAAUAUCAAAAGGAAUGUGAGGACAACAAAAAGACAAAUUAAUUUGCUCUGCUGAAGGGUGGAUUUUUGUAAUGAAAUGAGCAGGGUGUUAUAAAGCAGAAAUGAUCUGAUGAUGCACAGCAAUGACUUAUCUGCUCAGCAGAGAUUACAAACAAAAAAGACCCCUGGCUUUGCUGCUGUUGCUGGCCAGUGCCAGGAUAAACGAUGAUGAACAUUCCCAUUGACAUGUGGAAAAAAACACUUGUUUAAAGAGAAGGAUUUGCAGAGCAGGCUUCUUGCCUCCCCUCUGUUGAACUUUCCUGCUGGUGGCUCUGAAUGCAAAGAAGCUAUGAAGACUUCACCUCCGUGUUGUGCUACCUCCUGUGUCAUUUGCAAGCAAUGAGGACAGACACGUGGUUCAGACAUGGAACCAAGUUCAAGUGCAAAAGCUCAGCACUGCAUGCUGAGGGCUCUCUCACAGCCCCGACACCCCAGGUUCUGCCUCUCCGGUGUUGCUGUUGUCCCUUUCGUGGGUGAUGUUUACUGCCUCUUAGGAGUGAGAGAAGCACCAUCUCUGGAGCAGAUAUCUCUGAAGGAAACAGGUAAAUGCACAAGUCAACUGCUGCAUUGCUUUUCCCAUGCCAGGCCCCUCUUCACCUCCCAGUAACCUGAAGACAAGUGGUAGCUGGGUUCUGAGCAGUGAUCUGCUGUGUUUAACUUAUCUGUGGUACACAUUUUAAAAGAAGGCAUUUUUUUAUGCAGAGGUGAAGGUGCACUACAGGUGAGUUUUGCUGUUUACUGCAAAGGCCCUGUCUGUCCUCUGCUGGUGCUCAAGUAGAAUCAUAGAAUCGUUAAGGUUGGAAAAGACCACUAACACCAUCUAGUCUAACCAUCACCCCAUCACUACCAUGCCCACUAAACCAUGUCACUCAGUGCUCCAUUAGCAAGCUCAAGAAAUAACAAUAAAUCUUGCUUGGGCCCUGAAGAACU
ensembl:lncRNA